UACGAACCACGAACGAACUCGAGAUCAUCAAUGGAGAAAAGCAAACGUCCUAACCCAAAGAAUGUGUGGAUUGUGGGAGACAGCUACAUCCGGCGUGGGGAGGAGAGAGCACGGAAGACUGUGGGGACCAGCCUGGGUCUGGACACCAUUGUCCAUUGGUUUGGCUGGGGAGGCCUGAGGUGGGAGAGCCUUCUCCCUUUCAUUCACCAGUCCCUGAGAGGAAG